rnacentral:rRNA from 1 species
AUACGGAGGAUCCGAGCGUUAUCCGGACUUAUUGGGUUUAAAGGGUGCGCAGGCGGCCAUUUAAGUCAGCGGUUAAAUCUUGGGGCUCAACCCCAUUCUGCCGUUGAUACUGGGUGGCUUGAUUGCGGUCGAGGUUGGCGGAAUUCGUUGUGUAGCGGUGAAAUGCAUAGAUAUGACGAAGAACACCGAUUGCGUAGGCAGCUGACCAGACCGUAAAUGACGCUCAUGCACGAAAGUGCGGGGAUCGAACAGGAUUAGAUACCCUGGUAGUCCGCACAGUAAACGAUGAAUACUUGUUUUCGGCGAUAUAAUGUCGGAGGCAAAGCGAAAGCGAUAAGUAUUCCACCUGGGGAGUUCGCCGGCAACGGUGAAACUCAAAUGAAUUGACUGGG